rnacentral:rRNA from 1 species
CUUCCAUCUGGAAGAAUCUGGAGACAGGUGCUGCAUGGCUGUCGUCAGCUCGUGUCGUGAGAUGUUGGGUUAAGUCCCGCAACGAGCGCCAACCCUUGCCUUUAGUUGCCAGCAGUUCGGCUGGGCACUCUAAAGGGACUGCCGGUGUUAAACCGGAGGAAGGUGGGGAUGACGUCAAGUCCUCAUGGCCUUUAUGACCAGGGCUACACACGUACUACAAUGGCCGAUACAAAGGGCAGCGACACUGCGAGGUGAAGCCAAUCCCGUAAAAUCGGUCUCAGUCCGGAUUGGAGUCUGCAACUCGACUCCAUGAAGUUGGAAUCGCUAGUAAUCGUGGAUCAGCAUGCCACGGUGAAUACGUUCCCGGGCCUU